CCUACGGGUGGCAGCAGUGAGGAAUAUUGGUCAAUGGACGCAAGUCUGAACCAGCCAUGCCGCGUGCAGGAGGACGGCUCUAUGAGUUGUAAACUGCUUUUGUACGAGGGUAAACGCAGAUACGCGUAUCUGUCUGAAAGUAUCGUACGAAUAAGGAUCGGCUAACUCCGUGCCAGCAGCCGCGGUAAUACGGAGGAUUCAAGCGUUAUCCGGAUUUAUUGGGUUUAAAGGGUGCGUAGGCGGUCGGAUAAGUUAGAGGUGAAAUCCCGAGGCUCAACUUCGGAAUUGCCUUUGAUACUGUUAGGCUAGAGAGUAGUAGAGGUAGGCGGAAUGUGUGGUGUAGCGGUGAAAUGCUUAGAGAUCAUACAGAACACCGAUUGCGAAGGCAGCUUACCAAGCUACUUCUGACGUUGAGGCACGAAAGCGUGGGGAGCAAACAGGAUUAGAUACCCGUGUAGUC
rnacentral:rRNA from 1 species